GCCCCCUUCGUCUAGUGGCCCAGGACGUUGGAUUCUCAGUCCAAAAACAGGGGUUCGACUCCCCUAGGGGGUAC
rnacentral:tRNA from 1 species